CCAUGACACCGACGCCGCGUGCCCUCCGACCCCGCCACGCCUCCUCAGGUCCACCCGCCCACUUCUCAGCGGCGGGCUGACGGCCUGGGGACGCCGCUCGGAAGGGAGCCAGGUGUCGCUGUGCUCCUCUGCAUCUGGGUCGUCGCCGCCGCGCUCUUCUGCUUUGUGGGUUCCAGAAAAGCCCCGCCGAAAUCGGCGGACCCCACGCUGUCUCUCCUCCUUCCUUCCGGGUCCUUCCGAAGAUGUAUUUAUCAAGAAAAUUAAAAGUGGAUGUUCCAGCCCCUUCGGAUGAACUGCAACCCUGACAACUUCACUGCAACUGCAUGAGAGACCCUGUGCCACAGCUCCCCAGAGCCACCCGGCAAAGCAGCUUCCUGAUCCUUGGCCCUCAGAAACCCUGAGUUUAUGCUCAGAAAGACGUUCCCGUACUGAAAUCAGAGGUGGAGGGGAGCCAAAAGAACACUGAUGAAGCUUACAUUGUUCCAACUAUUCCGGCUCUAUCUUAAAUAUGGUGGCAGAACUUCAUUCAACUCUGUGGCCCUCAUGCACCACCACCCUGAAGCUUUCAAUCUGCAGACACUCUGGGAAGGGAAUAUCUGUUGGAUGAAUGGUGAGUCAGAAUUUUUAAAAACAUAUGUGAAAUACACAUAAAGGACUAGAGAAAUAGAAGUUAUGGCUGUCUGCGCUCUUCAUCCACGAGAACCCCGAAAACAGAAGCAUUCCCACCAGCCUGAUCCUGACAUCACAGCAAGAACCUCCAAAGCCAGUCUUUGCCAAAUCAGUAGGAUAGAGAAGCAACCGCAGAGGAAAGGAAAGGACAACAAUGACCCAUACAUUAUUGCCCAAGUGCUUUUGAGCAAAGGCCUGUGGAGGCAAGAUUGCACCAAACCUGUUACAGGAAAUUAGAUAACACGUAUUGUUUGGAAGCUUCAGCUCUAUCCUCCAAUUCCAUUAGCUAUUCCUUGACUCUCAAUCCUUUGGGGGUCAGGGCCACGUCAACUCCAGCGCUGGGGUCUCCAAGAAGAACUCAACUGACAGCUACGACUGCCCACCCAGCACCCGAUCACUUGGACCCUAGGGCUGCAGGUCUAGGCAGGGCCCCCGAAGGCCCAGCUAUGUGGCUGGUGUUCACUUGGUGGCUCAUUUUUGCUCUGAUAUUUUGGGAUCCCAAUUAAUGUUCAUACCUUUUGAGACUUUAUUAUUUACUUCCAAAGAACAGUUUGUUUGUUUUUUAAGUUUUGGUUAGAUACAGACUCCUCAAGGGCAGAAAUUUCUGAAUUAUCUUUGUAAUCCCAGGACUUGACAUGUGGAAGCCAGCACAGAGGACAACAAAGAAAGAAAGGUAGCCAGUCUUCCCGAGAGACCUGGAGGGAACAUUUUGAUAGGUCUCCUUUCUUCUAUAAAUGUUUUUCCCAGGGGUGAGAAUAUAAAGUAUGUACAAUUUGCAAUCCUACUUUUUGCUUUCAAUUAAUGUGAUGCAGGCAUUUUCCUGUGUGCUAUCAUCUGAAUAAUUGGGCCUCCCACCCCAGAUUUACAUGUUGAAAACUUGAUGCUCUAGGUGGUAGUAUUAGGAGGUGGGGCCUUUGGUCAGUAGGCCAUGAGGGUGGAGCCUUCAUAAAUGGGAUUAGUGUUCUUAUAAAAGAAUCCCCAGACAGCUUGCUUCCCUCUUUUACAAUGUGAAGAUAUCACAAGUGUGCGACCUGAAGAGGACCCUUACCCGACCAUGCUGGCACCCUGAUCUUGGACUUCCAGCCUCCAGAACUCAGUCACCCAUGCAACCAACACUGUAUUUCAUCAGUGAAUUGGGAUGGUUCAUCAGCUGCUCACUAGGCCCCAGGGAAGUCACAGAGUGAUAUUUGCCUUCAGAUAAACUCCUUAGGUUGGGUUAUUGCUGUGACUGAAAUAGCAGAGCCAUCCCAACAGCGGGAGAUUGACCUGUCCGCUGAAGUGAAAACCACAGUGUCAAGAAUGAAGUGUUGACAAAACAAAAAACAUACACUGAAAGACAAGGACUUGUACACUACAAAUGGGUGGAUUCUGUAACAGAAGAAACUAGGACGCAGACAACACAGAAGGAAGUCCAUGCAAGGACACAGGGAGAAGGCAGCCAUCUGCAAGUCACGGAAAGAGGCCUCAGGAGAAACCAAUCCUUCAACACCUUGAUCUUGGACUUCCAGCUUCCAGAACCGUGAGAAAAUAAAUGCCUGGUGUUUAAGUCACGCUUCUGCAACACUGUGUUAUGGUAGCCACAGCAAACUGAUACUCUUAGCACCACUGACCACCAUCUUGCUGGAGCCAGAGACCAUUUGACUGUCCUUAAUCAUAUUUGGCUUCUCCACACUCAGUCCCCAUUUCCUUUCUAAAGGCAUUUUUGGCAUUUAGAUUCCAGGUUACCUCACUCUAAUUUUUCUCUCACCUAAUCAGCUGCUACUUCUCAGUCUUCUCCGCUAAUAUUCCUUAUCCUUCUUUCUUCUAAAUAUCAGAGCCCUAGGCCCAGGCCUCAGCCUUCUCUGUUCAGAUCCUCUCUCUGGUCAUUCCAUCCAAUUCUGUGGCUUUAAAUAUUAUUUAAAAGCUGGUAAGUCACACAUUUAUGUUACCAGCCCCUACCUGUGCCUUUAGCUCUGUGCUCAAAUAUGCAAUUGCCCACAAGAAUAUGCAAUUGCCCCCUAGAUUUCCAAAGAGCAUCUCAAACUCAACAUGUCUGAAACUCUAAUGGCCCAUCACAUUUAGAAUGAAAUCCAAACUUCUCAUCCCUGCUUGCACGUUUCCUCAUGACCUUUCUGACCUCAUCUUCCACUGCCCUCCUCCCUCACCACCCUCCAGCCACACUGCUGGCCCUCUAUGCACACACUUACUGUUCCUUCUGCCUCUACUACUAGUCACUGGAUAGAGCCUCACAGAGCUUACUUACUCCUUUACAUCAUUCAGGGCUUGGCUCAAAAUUCACCUUCUCGACCCACUGUCUCACAUAUCACUCUCCUAAAGGUUGUAGAACUCAGUACUCUCAGGUUACCCUUAUAACAUUUUAAUAACCUCAUACUAUAGUGUCAAGCAUUAUAUUAAAUGCUUUAUAUGCAUGAUCUCAUUUAAUCCUCAGGACCACCUAGUAGAGACAAUCUUAUCUCCACUUGCAAAUGAAAAAACUAAGGCUAAGAGAGGUCAGAUCCAAGGUCAUAGAGCUUGCACUAAGGUCUGAUUCCAAAACUAGCACUCUUAACCAUUAGAAACAGCUGCUUCUCACUUUAAAUGCUAUUCUUAAUUAUGGACGGUAUGGCCUCCAGGCUUGAUUGGUUUCAGUUGCACUUGUGUUUGAGGAGGUAAAGUAACUCAGGGGUAUCGGUGUGUGUUGGGGAGGGCUUAUUUUCCAAACUGUGGCUUUAAACGUUCAGAUAAUACAAAAUGCAGGUUAAGUAGGGACAAAUUCAAACAUGGGUCUAGACCUCUGUGGCUUGCUUGUAUAGACUUAUUAAAGAAGAUGAGAGCAUUUUGUCCUUAACCUUGUUGGGUUUUUUUAGGCUCAAGUUCUGAGAAGCUAUUAAAGCUUUUAAGCUUUAGAUUUUUCCUUUAAAAAAAAAAAAUCCUAUUUCCACAAGGUGAUUAGAAACAAAACCCUUACAAUAAAGUCCUUAGAAAAAGGUCUGUGUGCUGGUGAAAACAAAUAUUUAUCGAACACCUAAUGUCCCAAACGCUUUACUGAUUUCAUUGUCUCUCCAAGUUGGUAUUAUUUUCCUGCUCUUCCAGUUGAGGACACUGAGGGACUCAGAAGGUAAGUAAUGUCCCCAUACGGAGCAGGAACCCCCCAGUUUCCUCCUCUUGCUUACCACAUGCUCCAAAGUGGUUUUGCCUUCCCAGCAUGCAAUGUAAUUGAUUACCUGAGGCCCAUUCCAUGACUCCUGUUCUCCGGGCUCUGAAAUUUAGUUCCAUGCUAUGGUAAACAUGAAAAGUUACUUCCUAGGGACCUAUGUGCCUUUCUGGAAGUGUUGCAGAAACCCAAAAGACUGCAAAGGAAUUUAAAGUUCUCAUAGAUCUGUGGGUCUGCUCAGGUAACCAACAGAUACCAGAUCACACCCAAUUCUCAGUUGACACUGUUUCGUUCAAGAACAGUGCUGUUCCUCGAGCACAAAAACUCUUCUGCCUCCAGCCUUUGCCGUGGCUCUUCUGGCUGCCUAGGCUACCCUUUCCCCUCAUGUCUGCCCUCCUGUUCUGGCUGCUCAAGUGCUACCUCAUCAAAGAAGCCUGCCUGACCAUCCUAUGUCCCCACCAGCCUCUCUAACCCUUUACCCAGCUUUGGUUUUCUUUGCAGCACUCAUUACAUUAUAUAUUUACUUGCUUAUUGUUUCUCUUCCACUAGGUGGAAACUUCUUGAUGGCUGAGACUUUGUUUUGUUCACUACUGAGUCUCUGGUGCCUGGCAUAAACUAGGUGCUCAUUAAAUAAUUAUUGGAGGAA